GGUGCCAAUGAAGUAGUAUAAGACAAGCUGCUUUGUUAAGCAAGACAUCAGCUGUUACUCCUGGCACCAAAAGCCGUCCUGGGGUUCCAUGGGUCAGUGGCCUUGAUACCAAAACAAACUUGGGCCCACCUGCCCGGCACAGCAAAGCCAAGCACUGACAUUGGGAUUGCAGCGAGAGAAAGUGAGGCAUUUAUUGCAAGGGCACCAAGCAAGAUGAAUCACGCCGCUCAUGCUUAACACCUGAACUUAAGUCUUUACCCUACCUGAUGGCUUACAGAAACCCAGAUGACCCUGGCACAUAGACCUCAGGUAAGGG
rnacentral:lncRNA from 10 species